rnacentral:rRNA from 1 species
CCUACGGGGGGCAGCAGUGAGGAAUAUUGGUCAAUGGGCGGGAGCCUGAACCAGCCAAGUCGCGUGAGGGAAGACGGUCCUAUGGAUUGUAAACCUCUUUAGGCGGGGCGCAAUGCCGGGCACGCGUGCCCGGAGGGAGAGUACCCGCAGAAUAAGCAUCGGCUAACUCCGUGCCAGCAGCCGCGGUAAUACGGAGGAUCCGAGCGUUAGCCGGAUUUAUUGGGUUUAAAGGGAGCGUAGGUGGAUUGUUAAGUCAGUUGUGAAAGUUUGCGGCUCAACCGUAAAAUUGCAGUUGAAACUGGCAGUCGUGAGUACAGUAGAGGUGGGCGGAAUUCGUGGUGUAGCGGUGAAAUGCUUAGAUAUCACGAAGAACUCCGAUUGCGAAGGCAGCUCACUGGACUGCAACUGACACUGAGGCUCGAAAGUGUGGGUAUCAAACAGGAUUAGAUACCCCUGUAGUC